GUGUAGCUUAAGUGUAGGAUGUUUGUGAAGUCUAUAGUAAUAUAAAGCAGUAUCUUAGGCCUUCACUUUCACUCACAACUCACUUACUGACUCACCCAGAGCAACUUCCAGUCCUGCAAGCUCCAUUCAUGCAAUCACAGGAAUAUAUAAAACAUCAGCAGAAAGAGGCCUUUGGAGGAAUCCGGACCAGCAUUCUCAUCUGGAUGAGGGACUGCGGCCCAUGGAGGGUUCUCAUUUGUAUGAGCUGAUGCUAUUAUCAUCAUCCAAAAAAUUUACUAGACGGGUUUCCAUAGAUGAUUGGAAAAACCCAAGAGUUGGUCCUCUGUUCCAGACCCCACACAGACACAAACCUACGAGCCAAGGGAGCCAGUAUUUGGCCAUCCGUCCAUCCAUCUGCAUGUCCCAGGGAUGCACGAACAGGGAACACUUCAGCCUUUCAGCUGCCUUCAAAGAAGCAAUGAGAGAGAGAGAGAGAGAGGGUUACUUUGAUGAGUGAGCAAAUACCAGGUACUGUUUUGGGGAAAUUGCUUUUCUUUGAGUCUAUAUUGGUCUGCAUAAUUAAACUAAAAUGCUUUUGA